UUCGCUUUGGUUAGUCAUCGCUGUAGAAUCCUGGAGAAAUAUCGGGAGGCAAAACAAGCACAUCUAUAUAAAGCUUUUCUCGACCUAUAUCCACCGUCCCCAUCUCCAUCUGCCCACAUCCCCCCACGUUCGCCAAUGACGCCCCAGAUGCAGGGAGCGGCAUCGCUGCAUCCGUUCUUUCCAUUCUCCAUCGCUGCCACGACCAGUGAGAUCCGCACGAGGAGGGAGAUGCAUCAGGGAGGUUUCACGCUGCUCACCGACGAAGCCCUCCGACGAGCGGCCAGACCCAGGCGAGGUGGAUUUCGUCGGGUUAUUGCCAGGAGUGGUCUUUUGGGUUUUGCGAGAACGGCGUGUCCAGGACUCCAGGUUAAAACCAGCCGCCCUCCGAGCAAGAGCACCAUGUACCUCUACUACGAGGGCAUGCCAGGUUUUCCACAAGCUUAGCCGCGAGUCAUACGACUUCCUCCGCAGGAACUGUAACCACUUGUACUACGCUCUGCCAUAAUCUCCGCAUCCCCAAGCUUCCAAGUAAGGGUAGGAGAUUUAGCCUUUGUUCUUCUGAUUAGCCACUGAACUAAGGUCUUCUUUAUAAAAAUUAGUCACUGGACUGUAUUUGUAGGCACUGUAUGGUGGCGUUUGACACAUCUUAAUAUCAUGAUUUACUAUAGAAAUGGCCACAUAUCUGUAGUAUUUUUUUGUUCCCAAAACCAGAAUUGGUCCAACUGUAAUUUUCUUGUUACUUCUCAGAAUUGAAGCUUGGUACCGAUACUAGCUGCAUACCAGUACCAGAAAAAAAAAAAUCUGAUUUGGCCACACUCCAUCCACUGGCUACAUACUCGAAGUGGUUGUCUGGAUAAAUAAAAUUAGUGCCCAGUUUUUCAAAGAACGUAUUUUCAUUUGAUAUUUUUUGGAAAAUCCAAUUUUACUUAUAAUUCACGUAAUAAGUACGCGCAGAGUCUGUUUGGACUAGAAAAUUGUAGUAUCCAUUGAAAUUCGCCAGAUAGACAUACAUACUUGUUUCCACUUGAAUCCAAGCAAACUAUCAUGUAAAUUAGAUAAAUUGUACAAUGUUUUGACUGAACCAUGAAUUUUUGUGAUGGCUUACCUACUUUAAAAAUUAUAAUUUAUGGUCUUGACAAUUGAGGUGAACAUGGUCAAGUGCUGAGCAGUUUGGGGUCAGAGAUUUCCAAUUGAGAUUUCCUUUCACCAAAAAGAAAACUUUGUACCAAUUAUUCUUGUCUGUUUUCCACUCUGAUGCUUUAGAUGUUUAAUGGUUUCAUAGUCUUUUUGUCUAUACAGUCAGUGUAUUUGCUAAUUGUCAAGUUUGUACAGGUUAUGAUCAUUACCCUUCAACCGGGUUAUUUGAAAGAACGUUUAAUCCCUUGCUGAGCAUAAUUUGUGUAGGCAAAAGUAGCAAUCUCAUUUGAUUGUUCUAUUGUCAGAAUGACAGAUGGUACAUGGAAGUAGUAGUGCAUGUCAAUUCAGUUGGUAAUAUUGUUGUACUCUAAAGGAAUUACCUUAUUUUGUUUCAUUCUAUUCAUGUAGGUGCUGUGUGUUUUGCACAAGAUAAUUACCGUGUAGCAGGUCAUGUGCAGUUUUAAAUUUAUUUAGCACAAGUGUGCAUGCACACACACACACAUAUAGAGUAUAGAUCUUUUUGAUAGUGUGGCUGUUGUCCUUUAUUUACCAGCUUAAUAUGAUUGCUGCCUUGGUCUACUUUAUUAUUCAUAAACGAUGAUAGGUAGCAAUUUUCUUAUUCAAGAAUAGUUUUCUUUGCAAAGUUGUGUAGAAGAGCGUCAUGCACAUUUUUCAGAGAGUAUUGACAUCUGAGAGGGAGGUUCACAGCAAAAAAGAGAAGGGCUGCUUCUUAUGCUUCCAUGUCAUUCUACCUUCAGUUUUGGUAAACAAUGUGUGAGCCCAAAUAUUCAGAUCCCAGUGAGCUUUCACAUUUAGUUUGACGGAAGCAUGUAAAAGUGCACCCAGCAAUAUAUUUUGAUGGCACUUGAUUUAAAAUUAUUAAGUGCAGCUGAUUGCAUAAGAUGGUACCUUAUGGAAGAACCAAGCACUUAAAGUAUAUUAGUGUUAGCACUCAGAGUCAGGCAACUGUAAGAAUUUGCUGGGUUUAGUUGGUGUUACCUUGUAUAAUAAGAUGGAUAAGGGUCGGAGUACUCGCCCAAGUAUUUAUUUUGAUAUUAUAAUUUAUAUAUACGACUCUGAUAUGCGAUAGUGGCUUCCAUUUUUAAUACAAUAGUUGAUGUUACUUUUCUGGGAUUAGAUGGAAGAGGUGAACAUUCACUUUAUAUAAUAUUCCCGUUCAAGUCCAUAACUGAUGGAAGAAGUCAGGGUUAACUCUA